AAAAUUAUAAAAACUCCACCGCAAAGGAGCAGCCCAAGCAAAUCAUCAGCAGCCAGGGCAGUGAGAUGAUCGCAGAUCCUCUAGAUUGCAUCUUUGGUGAUUUGGAAAGUGGCAAGGAAAUCUCUCAUUCAAACAAUGU